GAUGAAGAACGUAGCGAAAUGCGAUAAGUAAUGUGAAUUGCAGAAUUCAGUGAAUCAUCGAAUCUUUGAACGCACCUUGCGCCUUUUGGUAUUCCGAAAGGCACACCUGUUUGAGCGUCAUGAAUACCUCAAUCUCCAUCUUUUCUUCGGAUUGAUGGGUGACUUGGAUGUUGAGCCCUGCUGGUAUGCUAUAUCAGCUGGCUUUAAACUUAUUAGCCGGCUCUGUACUGGAUCGGUUUGACUCGACGUGAUAAUAUUAUCGUUGAGGAUGCAUGUCUCAUGCAGCCGGAAAGUAUCAAAGCAGCUUCUAGCUUGACUUUAGUGCACUUUUACAUUUUAGACCUCAGAUCAGGUGGGACUACCCGCUGAACUUAAGCAUAUCAAUAAGCGGAGGA
rnacentral:misc_RNA from 1 species